rnacentral:rRNA from 1 species
CUCUAGUAACGGCGAGUGAAGCAGGAAGAGCCCAGCACCGAAUCCCCUCUGCCCUGGCGCGGAGCGGGACAUGUGGUGUGAGGGGGGCUAGCAGCGCUUGCGCGGUCGUCUCGGCGCCCAGGUCCUCGUGAUCGUGGCUUUUCGCCCCAUCGAGGGUGUAAGGCCCUUCGCGGCGCCGGACUCGCGUAGCCCGCUAGCUCCCUUGGAGUCGGGUUGCUUGAGAUCGCAGCCCAAAGUGGGUGGUAAACUCCAUCUAAGGCUAAAUACUGGACACGAGUCCGAUAGUAGACAAGUACCGCGAGGGAAAGUUGAAAAGAACUUUGAAGAGAGAGUUCAAUAGUACGUGAAACCGCACAGAGUCAAACGGGUGGAGCCGCAAUGUCGCUCGUCCCGGGGCAUUCAGCCCGUUUUCUCCCCGCCGCCCCUCCCCGGUACGGUGCCCGCGCGAGCGGGCGCCCACGUCCGGGGCUGGCGGCAUCGGCGUGGAGACGGGUGCACUUGCUCCGGUCGUCGAGAGCCACGACCGGUUCCUUCGCAGGCAGUGUGGACUCCCUUGGUCGGGUUAACGGCCGCUGCAAUCGUCGUCUCCGUUCGUCGGAGGCGGUGGUUCGGCGGCUCCGCACCGGGAGGGAAACUGGCCUGGGGACCGAGGACCGCAUCCGGGAUGAGGCCUCCGUUACUCCCGAGCCGUGCGCCCCCGUCGCCCCCUCGCGGGGCGGCAACACGGGCGCGAGGACGCAUCGGGAGGGAGCGGACGGCGUCUGUCCCGCCUAAAGGGUGCUUGUCGGUGGCGGAUAAGGUCGGUACUCCACCCGACCCGUCUUGAAACACGGACCAAGGAGUCCAGCAUGUGCGCGAGUCGAUGGGCGUUGUCGAAACCCUACGGCGCAAUGAAAGUGAAGGCCCGGCCUCGCGCCGGGCCUAGGCAGGAUCCCCGUCCGUUUCGCGGAGGGGGCGCACUGCCGGCCCGUCCCGAUCGCCUUCGACGAUGGGGCGGAGCAAGAGCGCACACGCUGGGACCCGAAAGAUGGUGAACUAUGCUUGAGCAGGACGAAGUCAGGGGAAACUCUGAUGGAGGUCCGCAGCGAUUCUGACGUGCAAAUCGAUCGUCAAACUUGAGUAUAGGGGCGAA